AACACAUUUGUGAAGGAAUUUUUACUCCCCAAAAGAGCGCCCCCCCAUGGCAGGAGAAAAAAGUCAAUUUUUUCUUGUCCCCUAAGGUGGAAAUUCACACUAUUGACUGUCACGCCUGUACGCUUUAUCAUAUUGACACAAAAAUUGACACACAUAUGUAUCUCAAUAAGAUCUACAAAAAAGUCAACUCGCGCGUAUCUGUCAAAUGUACGGUUAAAGGGCUAUUUUGCAUUUUUUGCCGAUUCGCACACAUUGGAAUGUGGCUAACUCCUCCUAAGGCUUUCGUCCCACUGAAACCAAAUUUGCUCAGGCCAAUCUACACCCCAUGGCCAUUCAAAGUUGUAAAAAUCAUGACGCUGCACCCCAUGGUUUACGUUCUAGGGGGCGCCAAAGAUGACCAAAAAAUCCACAUUCUUAAAAGAAUCCACAUUCUCCCCCCCCCCAUGGCAGGAGAAAAAGUCAAGUUUUUCCUGCCCAUCGCUCAAUGGCUCAAUCGCAUCGCUCUCCAGGCAACACCGUAACGAGGAGCAACCUGCCAUUUGGAUAUAUCCCAGCUGUGUUUGUGCCCUCACUCAUGGUCCAGACUUUUUUCAAAUAGGACAUGAAGUUUGUCUGCAGCGAGUGUUUUGGUAGAAACUGCGCCUCCCAUUCAUUAUGAUGGGAAAUGACCACAGACAAGUGCGCACACCAUCUUUGGACCUUGAGUGUGAUGCGAUCGGGAGGGGGAGGCGGUCACGCUGGGGGCGGCACGACGCGGCUCGGGCCCGACAGUGCCCCACCGGGGCCCUAGUUUUGUUAUUAUUAUUAUUUUUCCUCCCCUUUAAACUGGAAAAUGACCCACUUCCCACUGGCGAAAACUCAUGAAAUUUGGCAGGACGACCGGGCCUGGUGAAAAAUUUGAUAUUCUGAAGUCGCCCAAACAAUAAAAUGCAAAAUGGCUCCAUAGCGCCCCCUAAGGUGGAAAUUCACAGUAUUGACUGUCACGCCUGUACGCUUUGUCAAAAUGACACAAAAUUUGACACACAUAUGUAUCUCAAUAAGAUCUACAAAAAAGUCAGUGCGGGCGUAUCUGUCAAAUGUACGGUUAAAGGGCUAUUUCGCAUUUUUUGGCGAUCCGUACACAUUGGAAUUUCGCUAACUCCUCCGAAGGCUUUUGUUCCACCGGCACCACAUUUGCUCAGGCCAAUCUGCACCCCAUGGCCAUUAAAAGUUAUUCAAAUCAUGACGCUGCACCCCACGAUUUAGGUUCUAGGGGGCGCCAAAGAUAACCCUAAAAUCCACAUAUUUAAAAGUCUUAUAACUUUUUAUUUUUGUCCUCACUGGCCUCCAAGUUUUCUAGGAUGAUGCAAUGUCCAGCCAUCAACACAUUUGUGAAGGAAUUUUUACUCCCCAAAAGAGCGCCCCCCCAUGGCAGGAGAAAAAAGUCCAUUUUUUCUUGUCCCCUAAGGUGAAAAUACACAUUGUUGAGUGUCACGCCUCUACACUUUGUCAAAAUGACACAAAAUUUGGCACACAGGUGUAUCUCAAUAAUAUCUACGAAAAAGUCAAUGCGGGCGUAUCUGUCAAAUGUACGGUUAAAGGGCUAUUUCGCAUUUUUUGGCGAUCCGUACACAUUGGAAUUUCGCUAACUCCUCCGAAGGCUUUUGUUCCACCGGCACCACAUUUGCUCAGGCCAAUCUACACCCCAUGGCCAUUAAAAGUUAUUCAAAUCAUGACGCUGCACCCCACGGUUUAGGUUCUAGGGGGCGCCAAAGAUAACCCUAAAAUCCACAUAUUUAAAAGUCUUAUAACUUUUUAUUUUUGUCCUCACUGGCCUCCAAGUUUUCUAGGAUGAUGCAAUGUCCAGCCAUCAACACAUUUGUGAAGGAAUUUUUACUCCCUAAAAGAGCGCCCCCCCAUGGCAGGAGAAAAAGUCAAGUUUUUCCUGCCCAUCGCUCAACGGCUCAAACACAUCGCUCUCUCGGCAAAACUGAAAGGAGGAGAAACUUGCCAUUUGGAUAUAUCCUAGCUGUGUUUGUGCCCUCACUCAUGGUCCAGACUUUUUUCAAAUAGGACAUGUAGUUUGUCUGCAGCGAGCGUUUUGGUAGAAACUGCGCCUCCCAUUCAUUAUAAUGGUAAAUGACCACAGACAAGUGUGCACACCAUCUUUGGACCUUGAGUGUGACGCGAUCGGGAGGGAGAGGCGGUCGUGUUGGGGGCGGCGCGACACAGCUCGGGCCCGCCAGUGCCCCAACGGGGCCCUAGUUAUUAUUUUUCCUCCCCUUUGAACUGGAAAAUGGCCCACUUCCCACUGGCGAAAACUCAUGAAAUUUGGCAGGACGACCGGGCCUGGUGAAAAAUUUGAUAUUCUGAAGUCGCCCAAACAAUACAAUGCAAAAUGGCUCCAUAGCGCCCCCUAAGGUGAAAAAUUCACCUGACGCCUGUACGCUUUGUCAAAAUGACACAAAAAUUGACACACACAUGUAUCUCAAUAAGAUCUACAAAAAAGUCAGUGCGGGCGUAUCUGUCAAAUGUACGGUUAAAGGGUUAUUUCGCAUUUUUUGCCGAUCCGCACACAUUGGAAUUUCGCUAACUCCUCCGAAGGCUUUCAUUCCACCGGCACCACAUUUGCUCAGGCCAAUCUACACCCCAUGGCCAUUAAAAGUUAUUCAAAUCAUGACGCUGCACCCCACGGUUUAUGUUCUAGGGGGCGCCAAAGAUAACCCUAAAAUCCACAUAUUUCAAAGUCUUAUAACUUUUUAUUUUUGCCCUCACUGGCCUCCAAGUUUUCUAGGAUGAUGCAAUGUCCAGCCAUCAACACAUUUGUGAAGGAAUUUUUACUCCCCAAAAGAGCGCCCCCCCAUGGCAGGAGAAAAAAGUCCAUUUUUUCUUGUUCCAAAAGGUGAAAAUUCACACUAUUGACUGUCACGCCUGUACGCUUUGUCAAAAUUACACAAAAAUUGACACACACAUGUAUCUCAAUAAGAUCUACAAAAAAGUCAGUGCGCGCGUAUCUGUCAAAUGUACGGUUAAAGGGUUAUUGCGCAUUUUUUGCCGAUCCGCACACAUUGGAAUUUCGCUAACUCCUCCGAAGGCUUUCGUUCCACCGGCACCACAUUUGCUCAGGCCAAUCUACACCCCAUGGCCAUUAAAAGUUAUUCAAAUCAUGACGCUGCACCCCACGGUUUAGGUUCUAGGGGGCGCCAAAGAUAACCCUAAAAUCCACAUAUUUAAAAGUCUUAUAACUUUUUAUUUUUGUCCUCUCUGUCCUCCAAGUUUUCUAGGAUGAUGCAAUGUCCAGCCAUCAACACAUUUGUGAAGGAAUUUUUACUCCCUAAAAGAGCGCCCCCCCAUGGCAGGAGAAAAAAGUCCAUUUUUUCUUGUCCCAUAAGGUGAAAAUACACAUUGUUGACUGUCAUACCUGUAUGCUUUGUCAUAUUGACACAAAAUUUGACACACACAUGUAUCUCAAUAAGAUCUACGAAAAAGUCAAUGCGCGCGUAUCUGUAAAAUGUACGGUUAAAGGGCUAUUUUGCAUUUUUUGCUGAUUAGCACACAUUGGAAUGUGGCUAACUCCUCCUAAGGCUUUCGUCCCACUGACACCAAAUUUGCUCAGGCCAAUCUACACCCCAUGGCCAUUCAAAGUUUUAAAAAUCAUGACGCUGCACCCCACGGUUUACGUUCUAGGGGGCGCCAAAGAUGACCCAAAUAUCCACAUUCUUAAAAGAAUCCACAUCCCUUUCCCCCCCUCCCAUCCCCCAUCCCCCAUGGCAGGAGAAACAGUCAAGUUUUUCCUGCCCAUCACUCAAUGGCUCAAUCGCAUCGCUCUCCCGGCAACACCGUAACGAGGAGCAACUUGCCGUUUGGAUAUAUCCUAGCUGUGUUUGUGCCCUCACUCAUGGUCCAGACUUUUUUCAAAUAGGACAUGUAGUUUGUCUGCAGCGAGUGUUUUGGUAGAAACUGCGCCUCCCAUUCAUUAUAAUGGGAAAUGACCACAGACAAGUGCGCACACCAUCUUUGGACCUUGAGUGUGACGCGAUCGGGAGGGGGAGGCGGUCGCACUGGGGGCGGCGCAACGCGGCUCGGGCCCGCCAGUGCCCCAACGGGGCCCUAGUUCUUUCUUUCUUUCUUCUUUUUCCUCCCCUUUGAACUGGAAAAUGACCCACUUCCCACUGGCGAAAACUCAUGAAAUUUGGCAGGACGACCGGGCCUGGUGAAAAAUUCGAUAUUCUGAAGUCGCCCAAACAAUAAAAUGCAAAAUGGCUCCAUAGCGCCCCCUAAGGUGGAAAUUCACACUAUUGACUGUCACGCCUGUACGCUUUGUCAUAUUGACACAAAAAUUGACACACAUAUGUAUCUCAAUAAGAUCUACAAAAAAGUCAGUGCGGCCGUAUCUGUCAAAAUUACGGUUAAAGGGUUAUUUCGCAUUUUUUGCCGAUCCGCACACAUUGGAAUUUCGCUAACUCCUCCGAAGGCUUUCGUUCCACCGGCACCACAUUUGCUCAGGCCAAUCUACACCCCGUGGCUAUUAAAAGUUAUCAAAAUCAUGACGCUGCACCCCAAGGUUUAGGUUCUAGGGGGCGCCAAAGAUAACACUAAAAUCCACAUAUUUAAAAGUCUUAUAACUUUUUAUUUUUGUCCUCACUGGCCUCCAAGUUUUCUAGGAUGAUGCAAUGUCCAGCCAUCAACACAUUUGUGAAGGAAUUUUUACUCCCCAAAAGAGCGCCCCCCCAUGGCAGGAGAAAAAAGUCCAUUUUUUCUUGUCCCCUAAGGUGAAAAUACACAUUGUUGAGUGUCACGCCUAUACGCUUUGUCAAAAUGACACAAAAAUUGACACACACAUGUAACUCAAUAAGAUCUACGAAAAAGUCAAUGCGCGCGUAUCUGUCAAAUGUACGGUUAAAGGGUUAUUCCGCAUUUUUUGCCAAUCCGCACACAUUGGAAUGUGGCUAACUCCUCCUAAGGCUUUCGUUCCACCGGCACCACAUUUGCUCAGGACAAUCUACACCCCAUGGCCAUUAAAAGUUAUUCAAAUCAUGACGCUGCACCCCACGGUUUAGGUUCUAGGGGGCGCCAAAGAUAACCCUAAAAUCCACAUAUUUAAAAGUCUUAUAACUUUUUAUUUUUGUCCUCACUGGCCUCCAAGUUUUCUAGGAUGAUGCAAUGUCCAGCCAUCAACACAUUUGUGAAGGAAUUUUUACUCCCCAAAAGAGCGCCCCCCAUGGCAGGAGAAAAAAGUCCAUUUUUUCUUGUCCCCUAAGGUGAAAAUACAUAUUGUUGAGAUUCACGCCUAUACGCUUUGUCAUAUUGACACAAAAUUUGACAAUCACGUGCCUUGCCUGGUAUCAUUUUUUUCAGCACAACCUCACCUGUGCGAAUUUACAGUUAUUUUAUCAUGUUGACAUACUGAAUUUACACAAUGGACCCAAAUUCACACACAAAACAUAAAAUCCGAGUGGAAAAAAGUAACAUUUUUACUGUGAAAACCACAAAUAUGUGUGAUGAACUGUUUUUAAAACUUAAACUUCAAAUAAAAAUUGUAAACUUCAAAACAUAUGCAAAUUUUUAACAAAGAACAUAGUGAUUUACCUCUAUUUUCAUCAAAAUGCAGGCAAUGGCCCAGGCGUUCUUUGUAAAAUUAUUUACAAAACACUGUAUAGUCUCACAAAUGUCACUUUUUAUUUAUGCCACUACAAAAAAACAUGAUGUAAAUGAUGCAUGAUGUAAAACAUGAUGUAAAAAACUUGUGUAGAUCCUCCUCUAUGUCAGUCCAUGUGUAAUUUUUCCAUAAUUCUUUGUUUUUUGCAGCAUUUUUGUUAGUGUAACUGCAGAUUGUGCUGACAGUGUCUAUGGCACACAAAAAAAAAAAAUUUAAAAUGCCUCAACAUGAACCCCUGGUGGUCUCUGAGGGUGAAACCUGCUAACUGCUGCAGCUCUGUCAGCUUCAGUCUCCCAUGCAGAGCUCUGAGCGCAUGUGUGGCUCUGCACCCUUAGCAGCGUUGCUAACUCCUCAGUAAGGAAAGCCUGCUUCAUGUCAGAGUCUCUAAACUCCAGAAGAAGUCGAUAAAAGUCCCUUUCUUUCUAAAAAAAAGUCGUUAGGGGGUCUGAAAAGUCAUUGAAUCUAACAACAAAGUCGCUAGGUUUGCAACUACGUGUCCCAGACUGCAUCCCUGCUGAGAGUCCCUCCCUCCCUUCUCAUGUUGCAGGAAGAACGUAAGCGCCCGCCCCUUGUCAAUCAGUCACCAUAUAAUUUUGGAUUGGUUGUUGUGGUGAAGUUUUCCACCAAUAGGAGAGAUGUUGUGGUGUGUUUUUUUUUUCUUUUGGCAAGCCUUUUCCGCCUGUAAGACCUGUCGCUAAUGUCUGGAUGCUAUGUUUUCCUGUCUCAUACAGCGCGAUCGAGCGCCGAACGUGAUCAAAAUAAGCAGAAAAAAAGUAUCGCGGACAUAAUUUAUCAUAACUCUGGUUUUAUUUGGCCUAUCAACACAAUUUAAAAACUGGUAUAUAGGUUGAGGUCCUCACUUUUGAGAUAAGUUGAAACGGAGAGUCAACGAGGCUCCGUCUUGCAGCUACAUCCGAUUAAAUAUGUCAUGUGACUUGAACGCACACACAGACACACACACACACGCACACACACACACACACACACACACACACACACACACACACACUCAGAGUCUGGUUUUUAGCACCUGCAAAAACAUGCUAUUUACAUAUUUGACAAGAAUGCAGAGGCUCCUUUUGCCCCUGAAAAAAAUCAAAUUUCAAACACAACUUGACUGGUCAUUUCUCCAAAAGACAACCAUGAAGCUCCAUCCAAACCUGAAGCAGGCAGUUGGUGCAUGUGUACAGUAACCUGAGGGGAGUGAGGUGAGUGCUUCUGAGGAGAACAUGAGCAGUGAAGAUUCACCUUGGAGCUAGAACAGAGACAUGCACAUGAUUAUACAGGGGCAGGGGCUCAAGUUUUUUCCAGUCGUUUAUACAAUAUGGAAAUUAAUGUGAAAUUAAAACACAAAGUAUUAAUAGAAAGGUAAUGACUGUCCUGUGUAGGUGACAGUGAUAUCCAAUAGGCUAGGCACUCACGAGGCUGGCUGUGGCAAGUGUAAGUGAAAGCAACACGCACUGGCAGGAAGAACAGCAAACGCCGAUGAAGGAAAAGGGUCUUUGCAGUGAUAGGCGUUACCAGAGAGGGCGAUGGCCAGAGGACACAAAUGGGACGGGGAGGCAGCACGUUGGGGGGGGGGGGGGGGGGGGGGGGGGGGGACGCGACACGGCUCGGGCCCGCCAGUGCCCCAACGGGGUCCUAGUCUUUGUUUCUUUCUUUCUUUUUAGGGCCCGAGCGUAGCUGCUAAGCAGCUGCGAGAGCCCUAUUAUUCCCCAAGUGGUUUUUCUUUGUUUCUUUUUAGGGCCCGAGCGUAGCUGCUAAGCAGCUGCGAGAGCCCUAUUAUUCCCCAAGGGGUUUUUCUUUGUUUCUUUUUUCUUUUUCCUCCCCUUUGAACUGGAAAAUGGCCCACUUCCCACUGGCGAAAACUCAUGAAAUUUGGCAGGACGACCGGGCCUGGUGAAAAAUUUGAUAUUCCGAAGUCGCCCAAACUAGAAAAUGCAAAAUGGCUCCAUAGCGCCCCCUAAGGUGAAAAUUCACACUAUUGAGUGUCACGCCUGUACGCUUUGUCAAAAUGACACAAAAUUUGACACACACAUGUAUCUCAAUAAGAUCUACAAAAAAGUCAGUGCGGGCGUAUCUGUCAAAUGUACGGUUAAAGGGUUAUUUCGCAUUUUUUGCCGAUCCGCACACAUUGGAAUUUCGCUAACUCCUCCGAAGGCUUUCGUUCCACCGGCACCACAUUUGCUCAGGCCAAUCUACACCCCAUGGCCAUUAAAAGUUAUUCAAAUCAUGACGCUGCACCCCACGGUUUAGGUUCUAGGGGGCGCCAAAGAUAACCCUAAAAUCCACAUAUUUAAAAGUCUUAUAACUUUUUAUUUUUGCCCUCACUGGCCUCCAAGUUUUCUAGGAUGAUGCAAUGUCCAGCCAUCAACACAUUUGUGAAGGAAUUUUUACUCCCCAAAAGAGCGCCCCCCCAUGGCAGGAGAAAAAAGUCCAUUUUUUCUUGUCCCCUAAGGUGAAAAUACACAUUGUUGAGUGUCACGCCUGUACGCUUUGUCAAAAUGACACAAAAUUUGACACACACAUGUAUAUCAAUAAGAUCUACAAAAAAGUCCACGCGCGCGUAUCUGUCAAAUGUACGGUUAAAGGGUUAUUCCGCAUUUUUUGCCGAUUCGCACACAUUGGAAUUUCGCUAACUCCUCCGAAGGCUUUCGUUCCACCGGCACCACAUUUGCUCAGGCCAAUCUACACCCCAUGGCCAUUAAAAGUUAUUCAAAUCAUGACGCUGCACCCCACGGUUUACGUUCUAGGGGGCGCCAAAGAUAACCCAAAAAUCCACAUUUUUAAAAGUCUUAUAACUUUUUAUUUUUGUCCUCACUGGCCUCCAAGUUUUCUAGGAUGAUGCAAUGUCCAGCCAUCAACACAUUUGUGAAGGAAUUUUUACUCCCUAAAAGAGCGCCCCCCAUGGCAGGAGAAAAAAGUCCAUUUUUUCUUGUCCCCUAAGGUGAAAAUACACAUUGUUGACUGUCACGCCUGUACGCUUUGGCAAAAUGACACAAAAAUUGACAAUCAUGUGUAUCUCAAUUAGAUCUACGAAAAAGUCAAAGAGCGCGUAUCUGUAUAAUGUACGGUAAAAGGGCUAUUUUGCAUUUUUUGCCGAUUCGCACACAUUGGAAUUUCGCUAACUCCUCCUAAGGCUUUCGUCCCACUGACACCAAAUUUGCUCAGGCCAAUCUACACUCCAUGGCUAUUCAAAGUUGUAAAAAUCAUGACGCUGCACCCCACGGUUUACGUUUUAGGGGGCGCCAAAGAUGACCCAAAUAUACAUUACAGUAGACAAAGUAGUUUUGCCCACUGAGUGGCGCCAAAGGGACUUGUCUGUGGAGUCUGUGAGUCACUAUUGGCCGUUUUUGACUACUUUAGAUUUUACCUUUAUAUUUCCUCUUACAAAAUUUUUACCUUGCCUUGCCUGGUAUCAUUUUUUUCAGCACAACCUCACCUGUGUCAAUUUACAGUUAUUUUAUCAUUUUGACAUACUAUAUUUACACAUUGGACCCAAAUUCACACACAAAACAUAAAAUCCGAGUGGAAAAAAGUAACGUUUUUACUGUGAAAACCACAAAUAUGUGUGAUGAACUGUUUUUAAAACUUAAACUUCAAAUAAAAAUUGUAAACUUCAAAACAUAUGCAAAUUUUUAACAAAGAACAUAGUGAUUUACCUCUAUUUACAUCAAAAUGCAGGCAAUGGCCCAGGUGUUCUUUGUAAAAUUAUUUACAAAACACUGUAUAGUCUCACAAAUGUCACUUUUUAUUUAUGCCACUACAAAAAAACAUGAUGUAAAUGAUGCAUGAUGUAAAACAUGAUGUAAAAAACUUGUGUAUAUCCUACUCUAUGUUAGUCCAUGUGUAAUUUUUCCAUAAUUCUUUGUUUUUUGCAGCAUUUUUGUUAGUGUAACUGCAGAUUGUGCUGACAGUGUCUAUGGCAAAAAAAAAAAAAAAAACUGAAAAUGCCUCAACAUGAACCCCUGGUGGUCUCUGAGGGUGAAACCUGCUAACUGCUGCAGCUCUGUCAGCUUCAGUCUCCCAUGCAGAGCUCGGAGCGCAUGUGUGGCUCUGCACCCUUAGCAGCGUUGCUAACUCCUCAGUAAGGAAAGCCUGCUUCAUGUCAGAGUCUCUAAACUCCAGAAGAAGUCGAUAAAAGUCACUUUCUUUCUAAAAAAAAAAGUCGUUAGGGGGUCUGAAAAGUCAUUGAAUCUAACAACAAAGUCGCUAGGUUUGCAACUACGUGUCCCAGACUGCAUCCCUGCUGAGAGUCCCUCCCUCCCUUCUCAUAUUGCAGGAAGAACGUAAGCGCCCGCCCCUUGUCAAUCAGUCACCAUAUAAUUUUGGAUUGGUUGUUGUGGUGAAGUUUUCCACCAAUAGGAGAGAUGUUGUGGUGUGUUUUUUUUUUCCUUUGGCAAGCCUUUUCCGCCUGUAAGACCUGUCGCUAAUGUGGGCCCGAGCGUAGCUGCUAAGCAGCUGCGAGAGCCCUAUUAUUCCCCAAGGGGUUUUUCUUUGUUUCUUUUUUCUUUUUCCUCCCCUUUGAACUGGAAAAUGGCCCACUUCCCACUGGCGAAAACUCAUGAAAUUUGGCAGGACGACCGGGCCUGGUGAAAAAUUUGAUAUUCCGAAGUCGCCCAAACUAGAAAAUGCAAAAUGGCUCCAUAGCGCCCCCUAAGGUGAAAAUUCACACUAUUGAGUGUCACGCCUGUACGCUUUGUCAAAAUGACACAAAAUUUGACACACACAUGUAUCUCAAUAAGAUCUACAAAAAAGUCAGUGCGGGCGUAUCUGUCAAAUGUACGGUUAAAGGGUUAUUUCGCAUUUUUUGCCGAUCCGCACACAUUGGAAUUUCGCUAACUCCUCCGAAGGCUUUCGUUCCACCGGCACCACAUUUGCUCAGGCCAAUCUACACCCCAUGGCCAUUAAAAGUUAUUCAAAUCAUGACGCUGCACCCCACGGUUUAGGUUCUAGGGGGCGCCAAAGAUAACCCUAAAAUCCACAUAUUUAAAAGUCUUAUAACUUUUUAUUUUUGCCCUCACUGGCCUCCAAGUUUUCUAGGAUGAUGCAAUGUCCAGCCAUCAACACAUUUGUGAAGGAAUUUUUACUCCCCAAAAGAGCGCCCCCCCAUGGCAGGAGAAAAAAGUCCAUUUUUUCUUGUCCCCUAAGGUGAAAAUACACAUUGUUGAGUGUCACGCCUGUACGCUUUGUCAAAAUGACACAAAAUUUGACACACACAUGUAUAUCAAUAAGAUCUACAAAAAAGUCCACGCGCGCGUAUCUGUCAAAUGUACGGUUAAAGGGUUAUUCCGCAUUUUUUGCCGAUUCGCACACAUUGGAAUUUCGCUAACUCCUCCGAAGGCUUUCGUUCCACCGGCACCACAUUUGCUCAGGCCAAUCUACACCCCAUGGCCAUUAAAAGUUAUUCAAAUCAUGACGCUGCACCCCACGGUUUACGUUCUAGGGGGCGCCAAAGAUAACCCAAAAAUCCACAUUUUUAAAAGUCUUAUAACUUUUUAUUUUUGUCCUCACUGGCCUCCAAGUUUUCUAGGAUGAUGCAAUGUCCAGCCAUCAACACAUUUGUGAAGGAAUUUUUACUCCCUAAAAGAGCGCCCCCCCAUGGCAGGAGAAAAAAGUCCAUUUUUUCUUGUCCCCUAAGGUGAAAAUACACAUUGUUGACUGUCACGCCUGUACGCUUUGGCAAAAUGACACAAAAAUUGACAAUCAUGUGUAUCUCAAUUAGAUCUACGAAAAAGUCAAAGAGCGCGUAUCUGUAUAAUGUACGGUAAAAGGGCUAUUUUGCAUUUUUUGCCGAUUCGCACACAUUGGAAUUUCGCUAACUCCUCCUAAGGCUUUCGUCCCACUGACACCAAAUUUGCUCAGGCCAAUCUACACUCCAUGGCUAUUCAAAGUUGUAAAAAUCAUGACGCUGCACCCCACGGUUUACGUUUUAGGGGGCGCCAAAGAUGACCCAAAUAUACAUUACAGUAGACAAAGUAGUUUUGCCCACUGAGUGGCGCCAAAGGGACUUGUCUGUGGAGUCUGUGAGUCACUAUUGGCCGUUUUUGACUACUUUAGAUUUUACCUUUAUAUUUCCUCUUACAAAAUUUUUACCUUGCCUUGCCUGGUAUCAUUUUUUUCAGCACAACCUCACCUGUGUCAAUUUACAGUUAUUUUAUCAUUUUGACAUACUAUAUUUACACAUUGGACCCAAAUUCACACACAAAACAUAAAAUCCGAGUGGAAAAAAGUAACGUUUUUACUGUGAAAACCACAAAUAUGUGUGAUGAACUGUUUUUAAAACUUAAACUUCAAAUAAAAAUUGUAAACUUCAAAACAUAUGCAAAUUUUUAACAAAGAACAUAGUGAUUUACCUCUAUUUACAUCAAAAUGCAGGCAAUGGCCCAGGUGUUCUUUGUAAAAUUAUUUACAAAACACUGUAUAGUCUCACAAAUGUCACUUUUUAUUUAUGCCACUACAAAAAAACAUGAUGUAAAUGAUGCAUGAUGUAAAACAUGAUGUAAAAAACUUGUGUAUAUCCUACUCUAUGUUAGUCCAUGUGUAAUUUUUCCAUAAUUCUUUGUUUUUUGCAGCAUUUUUGUUAGUGUAACUGCAGAUUGUGCUGACAGUGUCUAUGGCAAAAAAAAAAAAAAAACUGAAAAUGCCUCAACAUGAACCCCUGGUGGUCUCUGAGGGUGAAACCUGCUAACUGCUGCAGCUCUGUCAGCUUCAGUCUCCCAUGCAGAGCUCGGAGCGCAUGUGUGGCUCUGCACCCUUAGCAGCGUUGCUAACUCCUCAGUAAGGAAAGCCUGCUUCAUGUCAGAGUCUCUAAACUCCAGAAGAAGUCGAUAAAAGUCACUUUCUUUCUAAAAAAAAAAGUCGUUAGGGGGUCUGAAAAGUCAUUGAAUCUAACAACAAAGUCGCUAGGUUUGCAACUACGUGUCCCAGACUGCAUCCCUGCUGAGAGUCCCUCCCUCCCUUCUCAUAUUGCAGGAAGAACGUAAGCGCCCGCCCCUUGUCAAUCAGUCACCAUAUAAUUUUGGAUUGGUUGUUGUGGUGAAGUUUUCCACCAAUAGGAGAGAUGUUGUGGUGUGUUUUUUUUUUCCUUUGGCAAGCCUUUUCCGCCUGUAAGACCUGUCGCUAAUGUCUGCAUGCUAUGUUUUCCUGUCUCAUACAGCGCGAUCGAGCGCCGAACGUGAUCAAAAUAAGCAGAAAACAAGUAUCGCGGACAUAAUUUAUCAUAACUCUGGUUUUAUUUGGCCUAUCAACACAAUUUAAAAACUGGUAUAUAGGUUGAGGUCCUCACUUUUGAGAUAAGUUGAAACGGAGUCAACGAGGCACCGUCUUGCAGCUACAUCCGGUUAAAUAUGUCAUGUGACUUGAACGCACACACACACACACACACACACACACACACACACACACACACACACACGCACACACACACACUCAGAGUCUGGUUUUUAGCACCUGCAAAAACAUGCUAUUUACAUAUUUGACAAGAAUGCAGAGGCUCCUUUUGCCCCUGAAAAAAAAUCAAAUUUCAAACACAACUUGACUGGUCAUUUCUCCAAAAGACAACCAUGAAGCUCCAUCCAAACCUGAAGCAGGCAGUUGGUGCAUGUGUACAGUAACCUGAGGGGAGUGAGGUGACUGCUUCUGAGGAGAACAUGAGCAGUGAAGAUUCACCUUAGAGCUAGAACAGAGACGUGCACAUGAUUAUACAGGGGCAGGGGCUCAAGUUUUUUCCAGUUGUUUAUACAAUAUGGAAAUUAAUGUGAAAUUAAAAAACAAAGUAUUAAUAGAAAGGUAAUGACUGUCCUGAGUAGGUGACAGUGAUAUCCAAUAGGCUAGGCACUCAAGAGGCUGGCUGUGGCAAGUGUAAGUGAAAGCAACACGCACUGGCAGGAAGAACAGCAAACGCCGAUGAAGGAAAAGGGUCUUUGCAGUGAUGGGCGUUACCAGAGAGGGCGAUGGCCAGAGGACACAAAUGGGACGGGGAGGCAGCGCGUUGGGGGGGGGGACGCGACACAGCUCGGGCCCGCCAGUGCCCCAACGGGGUCCUAGUUUUUUUUCCUCCCCUUUGAACUGGAAAAUGGCCCACUUCCCACUGGCGAAAACUCAUGAAAUUUGGCAGGACGACCGGGCCUGGUGAAAAAUUUGAUAUUCUGAAGUCGCCCAAACAAUACAAUGCAAAAUGGCUCCAUAGCGCCCCCUAAGGUGAAAAAUUCACCUGACGCCUGUACGCUUUGUCAAAAUGACACAAAAAUUGACACACACAUGUAUCUCAAUAAGAUCUACAAAAAAGUCAGUGCGGGCGUAUCUGUCAAAUGUACGGUUAAAGGGUUAUUGCGCAUUUUUUGCCGAUCCGCACACAUUGGAAUUUCGCUAACUCCUCCGAAGGCUUUCGUUUCACCGGCACCACAUUUGCUCAGGCCAAUCUACACCCCAUGGCCAUUAAAAGUUAUUCAAAUCAUGACGCUGCACCCCACGGUUUAGGUUCUAGGGGGCGCCAAAGAUAACCCUAAAAUCCACAUAUUUCAAAGUCUUAUAACUUUUUAUUUUUGCCCUCACUGGCCUCCAAGUUUUCUAGGAUGAUGCAAUGUCCAGCCAUCAACACAUUUGUGAAGGAAUUUUUACUCCCCAAAAGAGCGCCCCCCCAUGGCAGGAGAAAAAAGUCCAUUUUUUCUUGUCCCAUAAGGUGAAAAUUCACACUAUUGACUGUCACGCCUGUACGCUUUGUCAAAAUUACACAAAAAUUGACACACACAUGUAUCUCAAUAAGAUCUACAAAAAAGUCAGUGCUGGCGUAUCUGUCAAAUGUACGGUUAAAGGGUUAUUGCGCAUUUUUUGCCGAUUCGCAC